AUUGUAUGAAAUUUGUCUUACAAUUGCAUAUAUUACCAGAUAUGACUAAAGAGAUCGCCGAUGUAAUGUUAAAAAUGUCAGCCAAAAAAUGUUCGCUAGGAAUAUAGGCUUCUAGCGGCCAGCGGCCAAACUAAACGCACACUUCUUCGGUGAUCUUGAUAGGAGAAACAUGCGUAUUCACGACGAGAGGGGAAAUGUGCAUUUCUACCACACAUCAGCGAAGGAAACAACAAUCAAGAUGAUCACAGAAUAAGAAGCAGUCAGCAACAACCAUCUUCUUGGAAAUGAUUAUUGUAAAAUAAUUAUAUAAAAUGUAUUUAGACAGAGUUUCCAUAAAUCAGAGUAGUUUAACAGCA